rnacentral:lncRNA from 1 species
CAAGCCUGGAGUUCACUGAGUAGGGUGGCCAGCAAGCUCCAGAGAUCCACCUAUCUCUGUCUCCCCAGCCUGAAGAUUGUAAAUGAACCCCACCAAGUUCAGCAUUUUUUUAAAAAGUGGAUUCUGUAGACCACACCCAGGUCUUUGUGCUUCUGCAGGAAGCCCUUUACUGCCUGAGCCAUCUCUUCAGUCCUGAAUAUUGUAUUUCUAACAAUAUGAUUUCCAGGUGGUGUGGAUACUGUUGGAGCAGUGGCCACACUUAGAAACUCACUGUUCCAUCAACAUUUUCUCUAAGUCCAAGGCCUUGAAGACUUGGUCCUCCAUGUGUCUUUGUUGGAUCCAGGGUCCAACAAUCAAGGCUGUCACCCAACCCCCACGGGUCACCUUUCCAGGCCUCUGUGGGUCAGCAUCUCUAUCAUUUUCCUGGCUGGCCAUUGAAUGCUUCUAUCCCAUUCUCCAUUUUGUCUCAAUCUACGCAUCUCCCCGAGGAAGGACCAAAGGUUGGCAAGGAGGGUGUAUUCGUUACUUUCCCCAUUGCUAUGACCAAAUACCUGACCAGAAGCAACUUAAGGAAGGAACGGGUUGUUUGGUCUUACAGUUUAGGAACGGGAAUGGAUAUAGCGAACCUGGUGAAGUUGGUGGGAAUGGGGUGGUCACGUGGUCUCAAAGUCAGGAAGCACUCAGUAACCCGGAAGUGGGGUUGGGGGGUUGGGAGGGUGUUAAGGCUUUUAAACCUGAAGACUCAGCUACUUCCUUCCUUCAGCAAGGCUCCACUUGUCAAAGGGUCCACAACCUUCCGAAACAGCCCUACAAAAUGGAAGUUUUCAAAACAUAACUUUAUGGGAGACGUUUCAUAGUCAAUGCACCACAGAGGGCCUGGACCUCCUGCUGCCCUGGUGCUUUAGAGUCUUGGAAGCCAAGCCCGGGAUUUCUGGAACCCUGCCUUUAGAGAUAAAAGGGACCCUCGAGCAGAGAUCGGUCCCCCUGAAAUCUCAGCUGAGUUCUAACUGAAUCUAGUCUCUGACCUAGAGGAGUUCCUGUCCGGGUGGAGUCUCAAUUUGCCUCUCUGUAGGCGGUCCCGGAUGCUUCACCCCAGAGAUCCUUCCCGAAGACGAUGGAUCAGAAGAAGAAAAGAGAGGGUUUGCUGAGGAGUAAGUGGGAGUAAAGAUGACAUCAUUAUGCCCUCAUCCAACAACUGGUGGAAGUAGAAGCAGACACCCACAACUAAUCACUGAACUGAACUGGAAUCCAAUUGCAGAGAAGGAAGAACAAAGUGAAGAGCAAAGGGGUCCAGACCAGGCUGGUGAAACCCACAAAAAUAGCCAACCUGAACAUCGGGGAGCUCUUGGUCCCCAGACUGAUAGGUGGAAUACCAGCAUGGGACUAAUGCAGACCCCAGGAACAUGGGUUUCAGUGAGGAAACCUCAGAAAUCUACGGGACCUCCUAUAGAAGUUCAGUACUUAUCCCUAACAUAGGUGUGGACUUAGGGAGCCCAUUCCACAUAGAGGAAUACUCCCUGAGCCAAGACACACGGGGGUGGGCCUAGGCCCUAUCCCAAAGCAUACGAUAGACUCUGAUGACACCCUAUGGAAGGCCUCACCAUCCAGGGGGAGCAGAAAGGAUAUGUGAUAGGGUUUUAAUUGGGGAGGGGAG